rnacentral:hammerhead_ribozyme from 1 species
AUCUAGCUGACGAGUUUUAAAUAGGACGAAACGCGCGUCCUGGAU